rnacentral:rRNA from 1 species
UGCAGUCGAGCGAAUGGAUUAAGAGCUUGCUCUUAUGAAGUUAGCGGCGGACGGGUGAGUAACACGUGGGUAACCUACCCAUAAGACUGGGAUAACUCCGGGAAACCGGGGCUAAUACCGGAUAAUAUUUUGAACUGCAUAGUUCGAAAUUGAAAGGCGGCUUCGGCUGUCACUUAUGGAUGGACCCGCGUCGCAUUAGCUAGUUGGUGAGGUAACGGCUCACCAAGGCGACGAUGCGUAGCCGACCUGAGAGGGUGAUCGGCCACACUGGGACUGAGACACGGCCCAGACUCCUACGGGAGGCAGCAGUAGGGAAUCUUCCGCAAUGGACGAAAGUCUGACGGAGCAACGCCGCGUGAGUGAUGAAGGCUUUCGGGUCGUAAAACUCUGUUGUUAGGGAAGAACAAGUGCUAGUUGAAUAAGCUGGCACCUUGACGGUACCUAACCAGAAAGCCACGGCUAACUACGUGCCAGCAGCCGCGGUAAUACGUAGGUGGCAAGCGUUAUCCGGAAUUAUUGGGCGUAAAGCGCGCGCAGGUGGUUUCUUAAGUCUGAUGUGAAAGCCCACGGCUCAACCGUGGAGGGUCAUUGGAAACUGGGAGACUUGAGUGCAGAAGAGGAAAGUGGAAUUCCAUGUGUAGCGGUGAAAUGCGUAGAGAUAUGGAGGAACACCAGUGGCGAAGGCGACUUUCUGGUCUGUAACUGACACUGAGGCGCGAAAGCGUGGGGAGCAAACAGGAUUAGAUACCCCUGGUAGUCCACGCCCGUAAACGAUGAGUGC